CGAUAUCGACUCCGGCGAGUGGCGAACGGGUGAGUAAUGUAUCGGAACGUGCCUAGUAGCGGGGGAUAACUACGCGAAAGCGUAGCUAAUACCGCAUACUCCCUACGGGGGAAAGCAGGGGAUCGCAAGUCCUUGCACUAUUAGAGCGGCAGAUAUCGGAUUAGCUAGUUGGUGGGGUAAUGGCUCAACAAGGCGACGAUCCGUAGCUGGUUUGAGAGGACGACCAGCCACACUGGGUCUGAGACACGGCCCAGACUCCUACGGGAGGCAGCGGUGGGGAAUUUUGGACAAUGGGGGAAUCCCUGAUCCAGCCAUCCCGCGUGUGCGAUGAAGCACUUCGGCUUGUAAAGCGCUUUUGGCAGGAGAGAAACGUCAUGGGUUAAUACCCGGUGAUACUGACGGUACCUGCAGAAUAAGCACCGGCUAACUUCGUGCCAGCAGCCGCGGUAAUACGUAGGGUGCAAGCGUUACUCGGAAUUACUGGGCGUAAAGCGCGCGCAGGCGGUUCGGAAAGAAAGAUGUGAAAUCCCAGAGCUCAACUUUGGAACUGCCUUUUUAACUGCCGAUCUAGAGUGUGUCAGAGGGAGGUGGAAAUCCGCGUGUAGCAGUGAAAUGCGUAGAUAUGCGGAGGAACACCGAUGGCGAAGGCAACC
rnacentral:rRNA from 1 species